rnacentral:lncRNA from 1 species
GGUAGUUGGAAUUAAGCUAAAAUAUUUAUAAACUGCCAGUCUGUCAUAUAGAUGGCAAAAAGUCACUUCCAAAUUCCACUUUGGUGGAGAUUUGUCAGAGAUUUCAGGGCUUUGUAACUUCUAAUUCUAGUUCUACUGGGGUAGAGCAUGUUAGAUUUUUGUAAAUUCUAUUUUUAAUGUUGCUAAUAUUUUUCCAUUGAUAUAACUAUGGCUUCUAAGAGCUACAUCUGCUCCACUCUAUAGAGGAAGGGGAAGCUUUAAAAUAAGCAUGAAAGGAUAAAGCAGCUAAUAGCCCAUGUAACUUAACUGCCUACUCAAAUAAAAUUCAAUCCUCUUUAAAGAAAGAAAACAGAAUUCACACACUGGACAACACAAAAAUCAUUAUGUCUAGCAUCUGAUCAAACAUUUCUAGAUGUGAAGAAACAGGAAAAUAUGACCCAUAAGCAGGGGAAAUUUUACCCAAUAGAAAUACAUCAAAAUAUGACCGAGAAAUUGAAAACCAUGGUGGCCAGGCUGGUCUCGAACUCCUGACCUCAAGUAAUCUGCCUACCUCAGCCUCCCAAAGUGCUGGGAUUAUUGGCGUGAGCCACCAUGCCUGGUCAAAAAUUCAAAUUUGAUUAAAGCAGUAAAUCGCAGAUCAAAAAAGAUCAAUUAACCUAAAGCAAUGUAUAACCAAAGCAAACAACACCAAGGCACACUAUAAUCAAAUGGCAAAAAGCAAAUAACAAAGAAAGAAAUGUAAAAAGUAGCUAUAGGAAAACAACACAUUAUGUACUGGCUAACAAAGAUAAGAAUGCCUCAUUUUUUUAAACAAAUUAAAGCUAAUGUUAUUUGUAAUUAAUAGACAUAAACUAAAAGAAUUGUUAAAGGAUAGUUUUCAGGCUAAGGAAACCAAUUAUAGAUAAAACUCAAAUUUA